AACGAACGCUGGCGGCAGGCUUAACACAUGCAAGUCGAGCGCAUCCUUCGGGGUGAGCGGCGGACGGGUGAGUAACGCGUGGGAACGUGCCCUCUUCUACGGAAUAGCCUCGGGAAACUGAGAGUAAUGCCGUAUACGCCCGCAAGGGGAAAGAUUUAUCGGAGGAGGAUCGGCCCGCGUUGGAUUAGGUAGUUGGUGGGGUAACGGCCUACCAAGCCGAUGAUCCAUAGCUGGUUUGAGAGGAUGAUCAGCCACACUGGGACUGAGACACGGCCCAGACUCCUACGGGAGGCAGCAGUGGGGAAUCUUGGACAAUGGGGGCAACCCUGAUCCAGCCAUGCCGCGUGAUCGAUGAAGGCCUUAGGGUUGUAAAGAUCUUUCAGCUGGGAAGAUAAUGACGGUACCAGCAGAAGAAGCCCCGGCUAACUCCGUG
rnacentral:rRNA from 1 species